rnacentral:rRNA from 1 species
UACGUAGGUGGCAAGCGUUGUCCGGAUUUACUGGGCGUAAAGCGCGUGUAGGCGGCAGACCAAGUCGGCGGUGAAAGCGCCCGGCUCAACUGGGCGAGGUCCGUGGAAACUGGUCAGCUGGAGGACGGUAGAGGCGAGUGGAAUUCCCGGUGUAGUGGUGGAAUGCGUAGAUAUCGGGAGGAACACCAGUGGCGAAGGCGGUUGCCUGGGGCUUUGCUGACGCUGAUGCGCGAAAGCGUGGGGAGCGAUCCGG